rnacentral:rRNA from 1 species
CGGCGUGCUUAACACAUGCAAGUCGAACGAUGAAGCCUAGCUUGCUAGGUGGAUUAGUGGCGAACGGGUGAGUAAUACGUGAGUAACCUACCUUUAACUCUGGGAUAAGCCCGGGAAACUGGGUCUAAUACCGGAUACGACCAAUCUCCGCAUGGGGUGUUGGUGGAAAGCGUUAUGUAGUGGUUAUAGAUGGGCUCACGGCCUAUCAGCUUGUUGGUGAGGUAACGGCUCACCAAGGCGACGACGGGUAGCCGGCCUGAGAGGGUGACCGGCCACACUGGGACUGAGACACGGCCCAGACUCCUACGGGAGGCAGCAGUGGGGAAUAUUGCACAAUGGGCGCAAGCCUGAUGCAGUGACGCCGCGUGAGGGAUGACGGCCUUCGGGUUGUAAACCUCUGUUAGCAGGGAAGAAGAGAGAUUGACGGUACCUGCAGAGAAAGCGCCGGCUAACUACGUGCCAGCAGCCGCGGU